rnacentral:rRNA from 1 species
CUUGCUCCCAAAGAUUAGCGGCGGACGGGUGAGUAACACGUGGGCAACCUGCCUGUAAGACUGGGAUAACUCCGGGAAACCGGGGCUAAUACCGGAUAAUAUCUAUUUAUACAUAUAAUUAGAUUGAAAGAUGGUUCUGCUAUCACUUACAGAUGGGCCCGCGGCGCAUUAGCUAGUUGGUGAGGUAACGGCUCACCAAGGCGACGAUGCGUAGCCGACCUGAGAGGGUGAUCGGCCACACUGGGACUGAGACACGGCCCAGACUCCUACGGGAGGCAGCAGUAGGGAAUCUUCCGCAAUGGACGAAAGUCUGACGGAGCAACGCCGCGUGAGUGAUGAAGGUUUUCGGAUCGUAAAACUCUGUUGUUAGGGAAGAACAAGUAUCGGAGUAACUGCCGGUACCUUGACGGUACCUAACCAGAAAGCCACGGCUAACUACGUGCCAGCAGCCGCGGUAAUACGUAGGUGGCAAGCGUUGUCCGGAAUUAUUGGGCGUAAAGCGCGCGCAGGCGGUUCCUUAAGUCUGAUGUGAAAGCCCACGGCUCAACCGUGGAGGGUCAUUGGAAACUGGGGAACUUGAGUGCAGAAGAGGAAAGUGGAAUUCCAAGUGUAGCGGUGAAAUGCGUAGAGAUUUGGAGGAACACCAGUGGCGAAGGCGACUUUCUGGUCUGUAACUGACGCUGAGGCGCGAAAGCGUGGGGAGCAAACAGGAUUAGAUACCCUGGUAGUCCACGCCGUAAACGAUGAGUGCUAAGUGUUAGAGGGUUUCCGCCCUUUAGUGCUGCAGCAAACGCAUUAAGCACUCCGCCUGGGGAGUACGACCGCAAGGUUGAAACUCAAAGGAAUUGACGGGGGCCCGCACAAGCGGUGGAGCAUGUGGUUUAAUUCGAACACGCGAGAACUUACUUACCAAGUCUGAAUAUCCUCUCUGAAAUCUAAAGAAAAUGAUUUCCCCUUCGG